rnacentral:rRNA from 1 species
GUCUUUUUGAUAAUAAUUUAAAGUCUGGCCUGCCCAAUGAUAAUUUAAAUGGCCGCGGUAUUUUGACCCUGCAAAGGUAGCAUAAUCAUUAGUUUUUUAAUUGAAAGCUUGUAUGAAGGGUUGAACGAGAAAAUUACUGUCUCAAUUUUAUUUAAUAAAAAUUUUAUUUUUAAGUUAAAAAGCUUAAAUAUGUUUAAAAGACGAGAAGACCCUAUAGAGUUUUAUAUUUUUUAUAAUAAAUUUUUAAAUUAUUAAUUAAAUUGUAAAAAAUAUUUUAUUGGGGUGAUAAAUAAAUUUAUAAAACUUUAUUUAUUUUAAAACAUUUUUUUAUAUAAUUAUGAUCCAUUUUUUUUUGAUUAUAAGAUUAAAUUACCUUAGGGAUAACAGCGUAAUUUUUUUUGAGAGUUCAUAUCGAAAAAAAAGAUUGCGACCUCGAUGUUGGAUUAAAGUUUAUAAUUGGUGUAGAAGCUAAUAAAUUAAGUCUGUUCGACUUUUAAAACUUUACAUGAUCUGAGUUUAAACCGGUGUAAGCCAGGUUGGUUUCUAUCUUUAAAUAAUUAAGAUAUUUUAGUACGAAAGGACCAAAUAUUUAUAAAAUUUAUUUAAUUAUGAAUAUUAUUGUUAUUUUGGCAGAUUAGUGCAUUAAAUUUAGAAUUUAAUUAUGUAAUUUAUUACAAAUAAUACUUGUUUUAUAUAGAUUUAAUUUUAAUAUUAAUUAGAAGUUUAUUAUUAAUUAUUUGUGUUUUAAUU